GGUAGUGGUGGAAAGUUUUUUCGGCGUGGGAUGUGCUCGCGGCCUAUCAGCUUGUUGGUGGGGUAAUGGCCUACCAAGGCUUCGACGGGUAGCCGGCCUGAGAGGGUGACCGGCCACACUGGGACUGAGACACGGCCCAGACUCCUACGGGAGGCAGCAGUGGGGAAUAUUGGACAAUGGGCGGAAGCCUGAUCCAGCAACGCCGCGUGAGGGAUGACGGCCUUCGGGUUGUAAACCUCUUUCAGCACAGACGAAGCGCAAGUGACGGUAUGUGCAGAAGAAGGACCGGCCAACUACGUGCCAGCAGCCGCGGUAAUACGUAGGGUCCGAGCGUUGUCCGGAAUUAUUGGGCGUAAAGGGCUCGUAGGCGGUUUGUCGCGUCGGGAGUGAAAACCUACAGCUUAACUGUGGGCUUGCUUUCGAUACGGGCAGACUUGAGGCAUGCAGGGGAGAACGGAAUUCCUGGUGUAGCGGUGAAAUGCGCAGAUAUCAGGAGGAACACCGGUGGCGAAGGCGGUUCUCUGGGCAUGUUCUGACGCUGAGGAGCGAAAGUGUGGGGAGCGAACAGGAUUAGAUACCCUGGUAGUCCACACCGUAAAC
rnacentral:rRNA from 1 species